rnacentral:rRNA from 1 species
AGUUUGAUCCUGGCUCAGGAUGAACGCUAGCUACAGGCUUAACACAUGCAAGUCGAGGGGCAGCAUGUUGGUUGCUUGCAAUCAACGAUGGCGACCGGCGCACGGGUGAGUAACGCGUAUCGAACCUGCCUCAUACUCGGGAACAGCCUUGCGAAAGCAAGAUUAAUGCCCGAUGUUCUUCAUUUUCCGCAUGAGAGAUGAAGCAAAGAUUUAUCGGUAUGAGAUGGCGAUGCGUCCCUUAGUUUGUGCGGGGAACGCCCCACAAGCAUCGAAUGGAGGGUUUUGAAGGAAGUCCCCCACAUGGAAAUGAACCCGGUCCAAAUUCUUCGGGGAGCACCAGUGAGAAUUUUGUCAAUGGCGGAAUUUUGACCCACCAAGUAGCUGCAGGAAGCGGCCCUUUGGGUUGUAACUGCUUUUAGUGGGAAUAAAGUGCACCACGUGUGGUGUUUGUAUGUCCAUCAGAAAAAGGACCGGCUAAUUCCGUGCCAGCAGCCGCGGUAAUACGGAAGGUCCAGGCGUUAUCCGGAUUUAUUGGGUUUAAAGGGUGCGUAGGUGGUUGUUUAAGUCAGCGGUGAAAGUUUGUGGCUCAACCAUAAAAUUGCCGUUGAAACUGGAUGACUUGAGUAUAUUUGAGGUAGGCGGAAUGCGUGGUGUAGCGGUGAAAUGCAUAGAUAUCACGCAGAACUCCGAUUGCGAAGGCAGCUUACUAAACUAUAACUGACACUGAAGCACGAAAGCGUGGGGAUCAAACAGGAUUAGAUACCCUGGUAGUCCACGCAGUAAACGAUGAUUACUAGGAGUUUGCGAUAGACAGUAAGCUCUACAGCGAAAGCGUUAAGUAAUCCACCUGGGGAGUACGCCGGCAACGGUGAAACUCAAAGGAAUUGACGGGGGCCCGCACAAGCGGAGGAACAUGUGGUUUAAUUCGAUGAUACGCGAGGAACCUUACCCGGGUUUGAACGCAUUCGGACCGGAGUGGAAACACUCCUUUCAGCAAUGACCGUUUGCGAGGUGCUGCAUGGUUGUCGUCAGCUCGUGCCGUGAGGUGUCGGCUUAAGUGCCAUAACGAGCGCAACCCUUAUCACUAGUUACUAACAGGUCAAGCUGAGGACUCUGGUGAGACUGCCAGCGUAAGCUGUGAGGAAGGUGGGGAUGACGUCAAAUCAGCACGGCCCUUACAUCCGGGGCGACACACGUGUUACAAUGGCAUGGACAAAGGGCAGCUACACAGCGAUGUGAUGCAAAUCUCCAAACCAUGUCUCAGUUCGGAUCGGAGUCUGCAACUCGACUCCGUGAAGCUGGAUUCGCUAGUAAUCGCGCAUCAGCCAUGGCGCGGUGAAUACGUUCCCGGGCCUUGCACACACCGCCCGUC